CCUACGGGUGGCUGCAGUGGGGAAUAUUGGACAAUGGGCGAAAGCCUGAUCCAGCCAUGCCGCGUGUGUGAAGAAGGCCUUCGGGUUGUAAAGCACUUUCAGUGGGGAAGAAAGCCUUGGGGCUAAUACCCUCGAGGAAGGACAUCACCCACAGAAGAAGCACCGGCUAAACUCCGUGCCAGCAGCCGCGGUAAUACGGAGGGUGCGAGCGUUAAUCGGAAUUACUGGGCGUAAAGCGCGCGUAGGCGGUCUGAUAAGCCGGUUGUGAAAGCCCCGGGCUCAACCUGGGAACGGCAUCCGGAACUGUCAGGCUAGAGUGCAGGAGAGGAAGGUAGAAUUCCCGGUGUAGCGGUGAAAUGCGUAGAGAUCGGGAGGAAUACCAGUGGCGAAGGCGGCCUUCUGGACUGACACUGACGCUGAGGUGCGAAAGCGUGGGUAGCAAACAGGAUUAGAUACCCUGGUAGUC
rnacentral:rRNA from 1 species